UACACAACAUGUUAAUUGGAUAAAUAUGCAAGGCUAAUGCGGAAGCUGCAGUUUGUAAAUGUUGAGUUGUUCAAGGGAAUUAGCCAAUUGUUUGGGAUCUUUUUUCACUUUGUAUUUGAGAGCUUUGUCAAUCAGAGUACUCUCCCUGGUGGAAAGGUCUUCAUAGACAUGCUUCCUUACAAGCUAAAGACUGCAUUAUCAAGAAUAACACAGGAUUGUGACCAAUGGAUGAAACCAGUCUUCACCAUUUAAUUCAUCUUCACCCACAUCUUCAAAUACACCAUUAACUCAUAUGGAUGUCACUCCUACAAGUCCACCAAGUCUCUUAUCUGGUGCAUCUUUUAGUCUCAAGGAAAGAUGUGCAGGUGCUGACACUAUAUCUCUUGUUGCAUAGAUCUAAAGAUCAUCUUCAGUCAAUGCUUCUGAAAAAAUAAUCAGCAACUGUUAAAGAUUUUUAUGCGCAUUUGGCAUGCCAUCUACUGAACUUUCUAUCAAAGAGCUUCUAGGAGAUUUUGAGGCAUGUGCUGAGAUGUUCAUUCCGGGCACUUUUAUCCGCCUUUUUCAAUUGGCAAUCAUCAGAGUCAGGUGUUUCGUCCAGUUAUGGUCCUCGAUGCUUCACUGAAAAAGAAGUGAAGUUGGGAGUCAAUGAUGCACUCGGGAUCAAGCCCAGUGGUUCUGCGUCUGUCUGGAUGGAAGGAAGGAAUAUUGGGUAGACGCUAUACACUUGCUUUGAUGCCCGGAGAAGAAACAAGAGUCAAGAAGGGAAACGUGAGGCAAAAGAAAAGUAAAAUGACCACCUUUGCUUUUCAUAAUUCUGUGUUUAAAAGAGUUCGAGUUAUAUUCUUAUUUUAUUUUAUUUUUAUUUAUUUAUUUAUUUUUUUACAGAUUUAUGUGUAUUAAUAUAUUUCGUACCAUUUCUAACAAUGUAACACUUUAGAAUGUUAUACUUUUGUAAUUG